rnacentral:rRNA from 1 species
GGGAAACCGAGUCUUAAUUGGGCGUUAAGUUGCAGGGUAUAGACCCGAAACCCGGUGAUCUAGCCAUGGGCAGGUUGAAGGUUGGGUAACACUAACUGGAGGACCGAACCGACUAAUGUUGAAAAAUUAGCGGAUGACCUGUGGCUGGGGGUGAAAGGCCAAUCAAACCGGGAGAUAGCUGGUUCUCCCCGAAAGCUAUUUAGGUAGCGCCUCGUGAAUUCAUCUCCGGGGGUAGAGCACUGUUUCGGCUAGGGGGCCAUCCCGGCUUACCAACCCGAUGCAAACUGCGAAUACCGGAGAAUGUUAUCACGGGAGACACACGGCGGGUGCUAACGUCCGUCGUGAAGAGGGAAACAACCCAGACCGCCAGCUAAGGUCCCAAAGUCAUGGUUAAGUGGGAAACGAUGUGGGAAGGCCCAGACAGCCAGGAUGUUGGCUUAGAAGCAGCCAUCAUUUAAAGAAAGCGUAAUAGCUCACUGGUCGAGUCGGCCUGCGCGGAAGAUGUAACGGGGCUAAACCAUGCACCGAAGCUGCGGCAGCGAACGUAUCACUUAAAGCGAUUCAGCGGGUUACGAUU